UGCAAUCAGCCUUAAAAAUAGCAUUUACACAAAAAAUACCAAGUAAUGUCUUUUUUUCCUCUUAUGUCAAAGGUGAUCACAUCAGCUAUGACCAUCCACCAGACCAGCCCUUCUUUGUUGGAAAGGGAAAGUCAACACCUCGCUCCACCUCCGGCAAUAAUGCCCAGACGCCCCGAGCGAGGCAGGGGAUCAGAAGCUGCAGAGACGAUGUCUCAUCCUAAAACAUUUAGAAGAUCUUAAGAAAUUGAGGGAUGGCGAUGUCAUCACAGCAGAAAUGUUUACUGUCGAGCGCGAAAAAUGGAUCAAGGAGCUAACCAGCAUCCAAUUAUAAAGUGAUGCGGUUAUUUAAACAAUUUUAAUAUCAGUUAAACAAUUUUAAUUCCGUUUUGUGUGUGUACCGAAUCAGCUUGAAUGAUUGUGAGCAUGGACGCAUCUCUAAACAAGGGGUCGUCCACACUGACACGGAUUCAAAAGUAUCCGGAUUCGUUUCGCCGAAAACGCAUCACUGGAUUCGCGUCCACACUAUCAUUUUCGCAUCGUGUUCGCCUGGAUCCAGCCGUCCACACUAACACUGAAAGGUACAGGGUGACGUCAUUUUUAUGAUAUGCGCAUGCUCAAAGCAGCGCGCGCAUGCGAUAUGACGAUAUCGUUUUCAUUUUGAUACGGAUUUGACCGUCCACACUUACGGACCACAGUAUACGGAUUCAUUUUGAUUCACUUUCGACGGCGUUUUCAAAAGUAUCCGGAUUCGCUGGAAUCAGCGCGCGUGUUAUUGUGGACGGAAGGCCUAAACGUAUCAAAAAGUAUACGGAUUCAAACGAAUCCGUGUUAGUGUGGACGGCCCCUAAUACAAUGAAAAUUGUACAAUGUAAAUAACAUACAUUACAACAAGUUCUCUUCAUCUUCUGUUAAUAAAAAGAACAAAGUGUUUUUCCCCAA